AUCCAGCUGACUAAUUCCAAAUAGGACGAAACGUGCGUUCUGGAU
rnacentral:hammerhead_ribozyme from 1 species